UACGGGGGGGACUAACGUUAUUCAUCAUAACUGGGCGUAAAGAGCUCGUAGGUGGUUUGUCGCGUUGUUCGUGAAAACUCACAGCUUAACUGUGGGCGUGCGGGCGAUACGGGCAGACUAGAGUACUGCAGGGGAGACUGGAAUUCCUGGUGUAGCGGUGGAAUGCGCAGAUAUCAGGAGGAACACCGGUGGCGAAGGCGGGUCUCUGGGCAGUAACUGACGCUGAGGAGCGAAAGCGUGGGGAGCGAACAGG
rnacentral:rRNA from 1 species